rnacentral:other from 1 species
CGUUCUCUGGGGUGUUUGCCAGCACGUGAAUGUCCCUGAGCCGAUAUCGUCAGUACAGGGUCCUGCUCGUGUACCAGUGUGCAAGCCCGCCGAGCAGCGGGAAGCCUGCGGUACAUGUUUCAGCACCCGCCUUGAGCCAAAGGGUUCAAGGGCUAACACGACGCAGCGGCACCUUGGAGAACAC